rnacentral:tRNA from 1 species
CUAAGGAAACAGACUGAAAGUCUGACGGAAACCUGCACACACGAAACUUUGUUUAGUUUUGAGGGGAUUACCCUUUCUACACGCCUAUCGGGCCUAUAGCUCAGUUGGUUAGAGCGCACGCUUGAUAAGCGUGAGGUCGAUGGUUCAAGUCCAUCUAGGCCCAUCAAGCGUUCGCUUGUUAAUUGAACAACCCUUAUGGGGGAUUAGCUCAGCUGGGAGAGCGCCUGCUUUGCAAGCAGGAGGUCAUCGGUUCGAUCCCGUUAUCCUCCAUUGGCCGUCAGGCCGAUCGUUGACGUUAGUUGGCGAUUCUUUGUUCUUUGAAAACUGGAUAUCAUUGUUGUAAAUGUUUUAAAUUGCCGAGAACACAGCGUAUUUGUAUGAGUUUCUAAUAAUAGAAAUUCGCAUCGCAUAACCGCUGACGCAAGUCAGUACA